UACGGAGGGUGCGAGCGUUAAUCGGAAUUACUGGGCGUAAAGCGCACGCAGGCGGGCUGUUAAGUCAGAUGUGAAAUCCCCGGGCUUAACCUGGGAAUUGCAUUUGAGACUGGGAAGCUAGAGUACUGUAGGGGGGGGUAGAAUUCCACGUGUAGCGGUGAAAUGCGUAGAGAUGUGGAGGAAUACCGGUGGCGAAGGCGGCCCCCUGGACAUAUACUGACGCUCAGGUGCGAAAGCGUGGGGAGCAAACAGG
rnacentral:rRNA from 1 species